UGUACUCAGGUGUUUGUGUCUAUAUGUUGUUAACCGCGCGGAAAAUUCGGUUGCGCGGUUUAGUUCGAGUUUUGCUCGCCAGGGACUUUGGCGCCUACGAGACGUUAACUACUUAUGGAGACAGCGUCAUUACCGUGCAAGAACCACCUGGAAAGAGCAGGCCAAGUUUGUGGCGCUCAGGACUUCAGGCUGAACAGUCUGGAGUUUGGAGUCCCACCUUGAUCACUUCUGUUGUGCCCAUGAGCAAGGCAUUUUAUGGAAGGUUUGCUUGGAGAAGGGAGUGACUUUGUCACUAGUGAGGAGAUAAGCUUCCUUUGCCGCCCCUAGCUACAGGUUGUCCUUAGGCAAGGCAUAGCACCUGUUUAGCCUCCCGUGCCAGGGUUACGGUGAAGAUGUCUAAUAUAGUGGAGAUGGACUGAACACAGCAUUGAACAUAACAAAAUUGGAGGGAAGGAGACACAUAGCUAAAGGAGUGCUGCUCUACAAGAUAAUCCACAUCAAAGAAGGUAAAUGUCUUUCUCCAGCUAAAUAUCUGCUAGAGACCCAAGGAAGAUGAAGAAGAAGAAGAAGAAGAAGAAGAAAAAAAUGAAAAUGAAGUUCUAAGGAAACGCCGCUGACGACGAGGACGACGACGACGAAGAAGAAGAAGAAGAAGAAGAAGAAAUAGACUAUGAUGACGAUGUGGGCAACGACCAAGAUGAUGACUUCAACAAUGAAGAGGAAGCAAAAGAGGAAUGUCUGAUCAUAGAUGGAAGAGGGAUAAUUGGUGCCAGAGUGUUGAGUCAUAAGGCUGGGAUUGGAGCAAGAUGUCUUUUCCUCCAUUCAAACACCAUGCAUGCUUAUCAUUUAAACCAGCAAUACACAAACACGGAACCAGGAAGGAACCGGAACAAGGAUUAAGGAACCAAGAACCAGGACUUCAAACUCACUUCUGCUGAGAAGCUGCGUAACACUGCCACACCCACGGAUCAGCACACGCCGGCAAUGAGCCAGCAUAUCAUGUAAAAUGAAUAUUUGUGAAGACAUAGACACAUCAUCAAGCUGACGGGAGGCGUGAGUGCAUAAAAUCGUUGAAGCCAGGACUGCUAUUGCAAUGAUGCACUACGUUAACGUGAAACUGUCUUGUUACCAUUCGUAUGUUGUUAAUCGAAUUCAGAGUAGUUUUCCAUUGAGUUCGUUUUUAGACAUCAGUAGUUCAAUGUUUGAAGUAUUUGACUAGACAUUUUAAUGAUAUAGAUAGGAAAUGUGUUGCAUUUAAACCAUUUUAUUAACGUUAGAGCCAAUUCACUCGCUUAAAAUUCAAUUCUAUAUUGUCGUAAGUACGUAGUUUGCAGCAAAAAUGUCACGUAAAAUGUAGUUAUAAUUUGCAGCAAAGCUCGCCGCUAGAUGGCAGUCGUUGGCCAUUAGUGAAUUGAUUCACUGGUGACCAUGGUCGUAGAUUUG